UACGGGGGGGGCAAGCGUUGUUCGGAAUUAUUGGGCGUAAAGUGUGCGCAGGCGGCCGAGCAAGUCGAGUGUGAAAGCCCCGAGCUUAACUUGGGAACUGCGCUCGAAACUACUUGGCUAGAGUGUGGCAGAGGGAGGUGGAAUUCCACGUGUAGCGGUGAAAUGCGUAGAGAUGUGGAGGAACACCGAUGGCGAAGGCAGCCUCCUGGGCCAACACUGACGCUCAUGCACGAAAGCGUGGGGAGCAAACAGG
rnacentral:rRNA from 1 species